UACGAAGGGGGCUAGCGUUGCUCGGAAUCACUGGGCGUAAAGCGCUCGUAGGCGGAUUGUUAAGUCGGGGGUGAAAUCCUGGAGCUCAACUCCAGAACUGCCUUCGAUACUGGCAAUCUUGAGUCCGGGAGAGGUGAGUGGAACUCCGAGUGUAGAGGUGAAAUUCGUAGAUAUUCGGAAGAACACCAGUGGCGAAGGCGGCUCACCUGGCCCGGUACUG
rnacentral:rRNA from 1 species